GUUUAACGAUUGUAAGUUACCAAUUAAUUAGAAGUGUCAAUUAAGACAUGACUCUAUGUUUUUUAGUGAAAUGGUUUAUGAAUAUCCAUGGUAUCACCUCUAAGCACAAGACUCCGAACUGGCACACAUUCUUCUCGUCGUGCAUUGGGCAACUAUGAAAUUUGAGUGGUGACUGUAACAUUAUAUAGUGGAGAAAAGAAGAUAAAGAUGUAAUGACACAUAGUACUCAAAAAUACCUAACAAGAAAUAUUUUUUACAAAGAAGUCACUUUUCUAGGAAAUUACUUUGUGAAAAUGUGUAAAAAUGAAAAAGAAAAAAAAAAACAAGGCAAUUCUGUAGCAGAACUACUUCCCCCUCCCUAACCCAAAAAAGGCAUGUAAAGAAACUAGAACAUUUCUUUACACUGAACUCCGUGGAUGCCCCAUGUACAUGAAGAAUUAUUUUAUCAAUCCUCAUUGUAACUGUGCUUUACUUAGAAAGUUAUUUCAAUGCCAUUGAAAUUAUAUGUAGUAAUUAAGAAAGAUUUAAUAAAUAUGAU